rnacentral:rRNA from 1 species
CGGCGGACGGGUGAGUAACGCGUGGGUAACCUGCCUCAUACAGGGGGAUAACAGUUAGAAAUGACUGCUAAUACCGCAUAAGACCACGGUACCGCAUGGUACAGUGGUAAAAACUCCGGUGGUAUGAGAUGGACCCGCGUCUGAUUAGGUAGUUGGUGGGGUAACGGCCUACCAAGCCGACGAUCAGUAGCCGACCUGAGAGGGUGACCGGCCACAUUGGGACUGAGACACGGCCCAG